UCAAACUUGGUCAUUUAGAGGAAGUAAAAGUCGUAACAAGGUUUCCGUAGGUGAACCUGCGGAAGGAUCAUUACCGAGUGCGGGCUUCGCGCCCAACCUCCCACCCGUGUUGACCUGUGACCGUGUUGCUUCGGCGGGCCCAUCCGGGCCUGUCCCCGAUCGCUGGGGGGCCCCGUGCCCCCGGGCGUGUGCCCGCCGAAGACCCCCGGAACCCUGCAUGAAUUGGGCGUCUGAGUCAGAAUUGAAUCGUUAAAACUUUCAACAACGGAUCUCUUGGUUCCGGCAUCGAUGAAGAACGCAGC
rnacentral:misc_RNA from 1 species